UAAAAUGCGAUGACGGAGAUAAGUACGCAGUGCCUCUAGAACAGGGAGGAGAUGCCACAGAUUGAGAGCAUCUCUAUAGAACAAGGCUGUCGAAAUUCACUCCUGAGCAGUUCCUUGAACGAUGCGGCUUACAAGAGCACAUUCAUUAGAGGAUACCGGAUUCGAACCGUUACUCGAUGUAAAGUGAGAGAUUUGUCUUAUCGAUAAGGCAAUUGUCUAACAAGGGUGGUACCACGGUCUUUUCGUCCCUUAC
rnacentral:ncRNA from 1 species